UAAGGAAUAUUGGUCAAUGGACGCAAGUCUGAACCAGCCAUGCCGCGUGCAGGAUGAAGGCCCUCUGGGUUGUAAACUGCUUUUAUCUGGGACGAAAAAAGGGGAUUCUUCCUCACUUGACGGUACCAGAGGAAUAAGCACCGGCUAACUCCGUGCCAGCAGCCGCGGUAAUACGGAGGGUGCAAGCGUUAUCCGGAUUUACUGGGUUUAAAGGGUGCGUAGGUGGGUCAGUAAGUCAGUGGUGAAAUCUUCAAGCUUAACUUGGAAACUGCCAUUGAUACUAUUGAUCUUGAAUUAUCUGGAGGUAAGCGGAAUAUGUCAUGUAGCGGUGAAAUGCUUAGAUAUGACAUAGAACACCCAUUGCGAAGGCAGCUUACUACGGAUAUAUUGACACUGAGGCACGAAAGCGUGGGGAUCAAACA
rnacentral:rRNA from 1 species